GGGGGGCGGGGAAAUGUUCAUCCCACGUCAAGCUGCCCUGACCCUCGGACUGCAAGCCAGGUGCUUGUCGGGGUCGCCCCCACCCCCAUCCCGGAGGCCGGGUGCGGCACCUCCGACCGCCAGCCGCUCCUGCAUUAAAAUUUCAUGGGCGCUGCAGUAAAUGAGAAGACGAAGUCGACUGCACUGGGGGGCCGUAGGGAGGGAGGCUGCGGACCAGUACGGGGAGGAGUUUACGAGGGGAGGCGCUUGCAGGGGCUCCCCUAGUUUUGUUGAAAGCAGGGCACAAAGAGCCCUCUGCACUCCAGCCGCAGGAGCGAGGAGCCAAGCUAAAUGUACAUGGGCUUGGAGACCCCAAUACACACCAACCCACAAGGUUAGCAGACUGGGGCGUCCAGUGCAUCUCCGCACCCUCAUUGCGACAUCGCUCUGGAUGAUGAUCAGACAUCCUCCCUCGGGGAGCCACCGCUUUGGCAAAACAGCCCCGCAAAGUGGUGUGAGGCCUGUCUGUUCACAUGCACAUGGCUGCCGUGUGUCAGUGGUACCUGGGAAAGAAGCAAGUCUUCAUCUCCUGCAUGGAUGCAGGUGGCAGAGGUCAGCCAACAGCUUCUGAGUCUCCCACACCUCAAGACUUUCUGCUGGUUCCCAGGUCGCAGAGGAGAGCAGGGGAUUGGGAAGGGUCGUGGGCACCCUGUGAAGCAGCCUUACAGAUAAGUAUCCCUUCCCUAGUCCUGGGGCGCCAGCCUGUUCUCUGCUGGUGCAUGUGCAAAGGAGGGUUGGCCCUGGAACCCCAAGAGGGAGGGUGGAUGUCUGGUGGAUGGCUCUGGCUCUUGGGGAUGGCGUUUGUAAUCUUGGGUAGGCUCCUUGGUCUUCCACAUACACAGAGGCCUCCGCAGUGUUUCCCACAGGACAUGUUGCUUCUCUCUGCUCCAGGUUCCUGUGGCAGCAGGCUGAGAAUGUGCUACGAGAUGCCUCCCCUUCCUUGGAUCAGGCUCUGGAAUACAGAUGUAGUACAAUUGUCAGGAAAGAGCAAAUCUGAGCCCUGGGUUGAGAGUCAGGGUGUCUCUUCAGUUCUGGUGACUUACAGUGGCCUGGAUGAGCCCUGUACCUCCCUCUGACUCCAGACAUGUUCUCUGCUGUGGUCUAGGAAGGCUGCUUUCAUUCCCAGCCAUUGCCUUGUAUGGCAGGGCAGAUGUGUCUCAGGGUCCAGAGAGAGGGAUAGGCUUCCAGCAAUGGCAGCAGUACUGAGGUCAGAGUUCCAGGCCCCUACUCUGUCCGGACUCCCCCUCUGCUGGCCCUAAGUUGCCCAGCUUGCUCCGAGUUUUCCUGGAUCACUGAGGAAACCACAGUAUCCAUGUUUGUGAAGGAUGCUCUGGGUGGCAGGGAAGGAGGAGGCAGGUGGCUCUUGGACCAAGGCAGGGCUUGGGCGUGGUCCUCACCUGGGCCAGGAUUGGCUCUUCUGCCUUCCAGAGGCAUGCUGUGAUGUCCCUGUGGGGGAGGAGCUAGGAGCUAGGCCUGUGAUGAUGUCGAGGAUGUCAGGUAUGAGUGAGAAGUGUGUUUCCUUUUAGGAGGGUGGCGGGUCCUGGGAGCCAGAAGAGGAAGGCUUGCUGUACUUAGCCUCAGUGGGGGAGGAUGGACUUGAUCUGAACCCCAUAGUGGAGGCUCUGGGGGGUCAUCAUCUCACACAGAUAAGAAUCUGACCUUUAAGGCCGUGCUGGGUAUCCAGAGGAGAAUGACAGAGACGUGGUCCUACUCUCUGAGAUCUUCAGUAAGAAAACAUCACCACAGCUCAGCAAGGGGAUGUCUCCAGACCCUGGUCUGCUUUGGAGCCCUGGAUUUUGACCUCAUGGAAUGGAGAAGAACCUGUCUUCCUGAAGAUGCUGUCCUUUUCAAUGCCAGAAAUGGAGGCCCCUGGAGAAGGCCAUUUCUGGAAGAUACAUUACUUAGUACCCACCCUGCCUUUGAUGAACAGAUCCAGGGUGGGAGAGUGGGAGAGGGCACUGGAGGCCCUUUCUGAUCCCAUGUGGAUUGGAAUCUUCCUCCAGUGUCUGGAGGUGGGGUGGAGCUAAGCCCACUCCUAAGGACUUGUGGGUAGGGCAGGGACUUAUGGGCAUGGAGGAGGAGCUGCUGGGGAGGAGCCUGAUGUCUGUCUUUUGUCUGUUUUUCUUUUCGUCUGUUUGCUGCUUGAAUGGUGGUUCUGUUUGGGUGCUUCCUGGGUGAGGCUUAGCUACCUGCUGGUUGUGGUGAGAGGAUUGCCAGUCCUGGCCUGGGAGGAGUGGCUAGUCUCUGGGCAGCCAGCAGGGGACCCUGGAAAGAGAAAGGGUGAGUCCUGAGAUAAGGAGACCCAGUAGGGAGGCUUACUGGCAGCCAUAUCAUCUCCAGCUUCCUCAGUCACUAGAGUGGACUAUACCCUGCAGGGGCUACGGAACCUUUGCCCAGGAGACAGGGCUGCCCAGACCUCACCUCCAUCUGUGUCCAGUAGCUGCCGAGGGACUGAGGCUGGCAGACACCUGCACCCCUUCUCAGGGUGAGGUGACCUACUGUAACCCCUGUGUCGGUUCUCCACUGUUGGUCACAGUCCCUCCUGAAGGAGACGGCUCUCACAGUCCCUCCUGAAGGAGACGGCUCUACAGUGUGUGGCCUUCUUCAGGACAGCCUAGAAAGCCUUCUCCCUGGGGCAAGAGGGGCUGUGGGGCUUGGCAACAGAGACUCACACCCCCAGGCUUGAGGCCCUCAGAGCAAGUUCAAGGUGCCAGAAGUAUCUUUAUGUUCUCAUGUGGCCUUUCUCUGUGUCCAGAGUCAGUGGGCUCCUGGGAUUUGUCCCACAAGGACACAGUCAUUUGAGGACCCAGGCUUAAGACCUCUUCUGAGCUUAGGCACACUUUGUCUCUCCAUACACAUUGGGGCUGGGGAAUCCAGCCUGUGCCUCUUCGGGGACACAGUUUGGACUCUGACAGGGUUGUUUCACAAACAUAAGUAGCUAGAGAAUAGAAUUCCCAUAUUGGGAGGAACCGAUGAAUGUCAGAUGGGCCCACAGUUGCGGCUGCUGUGCCUGGUGUCUUGGGAACAUGGUGGCUGUAGCCAGUGCAGAGCCAGCUCAGGUCUUGGGGCACCCUCUGCUAUACAAAUCACCUUGCUCUACCAGCCUCCAUUUCCACUUUGUCAUGUGGGCCAUAUGCUCUCCUGGUGGCCCCGGCAGCUUCCAAGGGGUCCUGUGCCUGGUGUUCCAUACAAUCAUGCCCAUGUGGAAAUUUGGGGAGGUUAGGUUGAGGGCCCAUCUGGGUAGGUAGGGGGCUUUCUGACCCAGAGGCAUUGCUGCUUGGGUCACCCAUGUCUGUCUUCCUGACAAGCCUGGGGCUGCGGCUGCUGUUGGUCUCUCUGGUAGAUUUCCAUGUUUUCCAGAAGGGAAGGAACUCUGUUUCCUGCUGCCAAUAUUGAGUCCACUCUGGUUCUUUGCUGUGAGCCAGUGUGCUGGUGCUGUCCAGCCAUGCUUUAGACACUGGGGAUUUCCUAAUCAGCAGGGAGAGAAACUGCCCAGGAAGGGGUAGAUGAUGGGCAGUCAACAGAGGCCCCGAAAGGGAGAGACCGCAGCUCUGGCACUCUGGAGGGGUUUCCUACUCAGGCUGACCCUACCAGGGCCUUGGAGGCUGAGAAAGGUACGGUUUAACUGAGUACCCUUGGGAAGAAAUUAAAGCAAAAAAGCGGGAUUUUUCAGAGCCCAGAAAACACUAGUGAGCAAGCUUCAGAUACUCAGGGAGGGAUAGGAUGAAACAUUUCCUGUUUUUUUUUUUUUUUUUUUUUUUUCUGCCUACAGAAUUAUUCUCUUACCAAACCCUGUCUAGAAUGCUGGGAGACAGGUUGGUCAUCAGUAGUGCCAAGAGUGCUAAGUGGUAUAACCAGGGAAUGCGCAGGCACCUUGGGGUUGCCUGGGAAGGAAGGAAAUUGAAGGGGCCAGAGGUGAGAGGGGUCUCAGCCCAGUUCCCUGCAGUGUUUGUAGAGGAAGGCAGGCCAGGCCCGUGGGAGCAGCCAGAGGCCUGGGAGUUGACGAUGGGAGAGAUGUCCAUUUCCAAGCAUGGCAGCUCUGGGGUGGGGUGGGGAGGAUAGAUAUUUGGUGGAAAAGACGCUGAUGAGUGUGUGCGCCUGUGUGUUUGUGUACAUGUGUGCGCGUGAGAAGAUCCUGGCUACAACCAGGGAAGGGGGUUUGCCCUGAGGUCAAGCAAAGGACAUUUUCAGCAGAGCUGGAGUGUUUGUGGGGGCUCUGAAACCCACAGCAGAGAAACGGAAGCUCUGGGCUUCCAGCAGGGGUCACUGAGGUCAAGCUUGAUUCCUGGAGGGGGUGUGUGUUGAGGGGUGUAGAGGCAGACCCCCUGCCCUGGUCAGGCCCCAUGCCCAGGCUGGUGGGGACAGGAGGUCUCUGAUGGUGGUGGUGGGGUUUGAAGGGGUGGGGUGCAUGGUGUGAUUUAACCUACUAACCAACUCAGGGCUCGACCAGGACGCUGUGGCACGUGACAAGAUGCCUGGCCUUCUGUCAAUCGACUAAUCCACUAACCUGGCCUGAGCAUGCCCUACUAACCCUGCGGCAGCCAAACCCUACUAACUCUGCAGCCCACGGGCCUUCCCAGAGGCUGGGGCAGAUGAGGCUGCGGAAAGCCCUGCCUGGGGCCUGGGAUCUCUGUGCAGACCCAUCCUGCAGGGCAGGGCACGCUAAGAGACGCACCAACUCUGCUGCUGGGGACUGUGUACCAGCCGCCUACCCUCCGUGGUGGAAUGGGACCCUUCUACUCCCCUCGAUGCCUGUGGUGGGCAGCGGAGGUGCUGCUGCCCAGCAGGGACUUCAAAAUGGAAAAAGACAGGGUGAGGGCAGGCUGCAGGGAACUUGGUGCUAUGUCCAUCCCCUGAUCUCGGGUGUUCUGCACACAGACCCUUCUGCCUGAGGCAGACACAUGCUUUGAACCCUAACCCUAAUCUUUUCCUGUUCUCUUGUCAGCUUUCUCUCUCAUAGGCAAACUCUUUUGAUUACUAAUUGUCUAACCCUGGGGCACCCCACCUGCACCCCGCUGCCCCUUAACUAACUAACGGCCCCUGCUGCCUUCUUCUCUCCUAGUGGCUCCUGUGUGUGUCUGCUGAGGUACCCUGUCCGCUGUGCUGUGCUCUGACCUACUAACAGGUUUCUUUAAUCCAGCCCUGCCGAGCUCUGGGCCUCCUGGGGGCUGGUCCCUCCUUCUGGCAAACAGAUGUCCCUGGGCUGACCAGGCCAGGUCUGAGGCAGGGGACAACCAUAUUAGUGAUGCCCAGAGGAGGAGGAGGAGGCUGUCCUGUGGGCGUGGGACGCUGGGCUCCGAGCAUGACCUCUCUCCUCUGUGCACAGGACUGGUUGCCACCAGGAGUGGAUGGGACCAGGGGAUCUUGUGGGAGCCAGUGUGGGGCCUGUGUAUCUAGAGUGGGCGAUACCGGGCCCUACUUAGCCUAGGCCCUCUGUGAUUUGGGCCAGGUAGAAAGCGUUAGGAACCCAGGGACUGGCCAUCUUAUACAGGACCUCGAGGGUGUAUGUUUGAACCUCAAGCUGACAGAAUGGCAUGCCCUCUGUGGAAGCUGUAAGUGAGAGUUUCCUAAGUAGGAAGUAUGUGAAGGGGCCUUUCCCCGUGAAGCCACACAACAAAGUCAGGCAUUCCUCAAGUGAAGCCUGAGGAGAUGGCAUCCGGACACUGCAGUCUGAGAAGAGAUGGUCAGUGACCAGUAGGCAGUGAGCCUGAGGGACCCACACUUAGGAAGGACAGACUGCCAGCUGCCAUGGUGCACAGGUGUGGAAAUGCCUAUGGAAAGGGAUAUAGGUGCCCGGACAUGAAUCCCAAGGGCCCAAAGGCCACUGGGGAGGUCAUACCAGCUGUUGUGUUUUGUCCUGUUAAUGCUCAUGCCUCUGCCCCAGCCAGCCUCCCCCAGAGCCCGCCAGCUGCUAAGCCAGGGCCACACCUGGAGGUGAUUUCAUGCCUCACCUCCAGUAGGCUCAUGGCCUCUCUGGGCUAACCUCUGACUCCCUCGCACUAACUAGCUUUUACCCAGCUGAUUCCUGCCUCUCCAUGGCUGCCCCAGGGGCUGACCACUAACAGCCAGCCCUGCCUAUUGGGGAGGGGGGCGGCGGUAUGGGCUCAGGUUCCUGGCCUGGCUUUGGCCGGCUCCCAUUAACUACCCUUCCUCUGGACUAAUUCAUUGUUCCUUUCGGCAGAAAUGAAUGGCUGUGGCUUUCUCUCUAACAGGUCUCCUUUCCUCCCGCUAUCAACACUAAUGGCUUGGAUGGCGGCAUGGCCGGGAAGGGGCUGGUAUAGGUUCCGAGCUUGGUGGAUGUGGGGAGAACGUAGCUAAUGAGAGUAGAUCCCAUGACUGCUCUGAGUCAGAGCUUCCAAAUGUCAAUCAAGGUGGUACCCAGGCUGGGGUGUGGCUCAGGCCAGAAGAAAGGAUACUGUCAUCUACUGAGCAUGUCAGUGGGGUCAGACCUACAGUCAGCCUUCUAGAGGUGUGGCCACUGACCCAAUCCCAUAAUCUUAUGACCUGCAGGGGCUGUUAUCUCAUGGAAACUACAGCCUCAGUCCUUGUAAGCAGAGGUAGCUCAUAGGUUCCACCUAAGACACCUGUCUGAUUUUCUCAAAGGAUUUGUUAUUUACAGAAUCGCUAGAGACAAGACCAGGGUCUGCUUUGAGUCCUUGUUUGAGAGACUUACAGAGCUUUGUCCCUAUAAACACCAAAUCCAGACAGAAAAAUGCACAAGGGCUGUGAAUUCUCCAGCCACUCCCACCCUAGAAAAGCCCAGUUUCUCUAACUCUUCUAAGGCAACUCUUUUACACAGGGUAGGUGCACAGAGGCGAGGGUGUGUGGCUAGCAAAGGGAAGUCCUUGGGGAACGGGAGUAGUAGGGGUGUGACACCAGGCUGAGGGGGGCCAGAGGGUCUUGUUUCACUAAGUUGGUCUGGUCUGCAGGUCAGAGCCUAGAAUACUGGAGGCUCAGCGACAUUGUUUGGGCCUGUGGGUGGCCUCAGAGACAGGUUGCCUGGGUCAGUGGGUGCUGUGAGCACUGCUUUUGCAUGGGUUUAGGACUCACUGCAACAGUUAACCAGCCACCAGCGAGCCUGCAGGAGGCCAGAGCUACAGCAGAAAUGGAGGAGAUGCCUCUUAGGGAGGUGGGUUAGCAUACGAGAUAGGGCUGGGACGCACCGUUGGCUGCCCUCUCAUGGCCGCUCAGCUUCAUUUUACCCACAAUGCCCAGGAGCUUACGCAGCUGAGGCUGCCCUGCUGGGACCCUGCGCUGCACCAGGCUCUACUCCCGCUGCUGAGACUGGACCGCAGCCUUCUCAUCGAAGGCACUAGUUGUCCUCAGUAGCUGAAAUUCUGUGUGGUGGGACAGAGCUUGAGUGAGGCAGGCAGGGGGAGAGCUCUCAGAACAGGCGUCACACCAGCCAAACCUCGAUAGGCAGGGCACGGCUGAGUACAAGCCCCUGGUAGCUCAAGAUCAGAGAGGAUCGAAACAGAUUCUGGGGGAGCGUAUUAGGUGAGGGGCUCAGGAUGGGGCAAAUCCAAGGCCUUGCCAGCAAACGCGGGCUUCAUCCUUGGGGUGCCAGAUGUGGUCUGCACUUGUAAUUCGAGCACUAAGGCGCUAGAGACAGAUCUGUGGGGUCCACCGGCCUGUCAGCCUACCUCAUCAUAUGGUCUGAGCCGGCGGUGGGGCUGGGGUUUCAGGCUACUUCCGUCUCUUCAGCCCAGCAGGGAGGAGCUUGCAGUGUGUCCGGCCCAUAUUCUAGACUGCACCAGAACUUCUGGUCACUAGGAAGACCCUUUGGUCCAACUGGGAAGGAGCAGGGUUCAUAGUGCUCACCCUCAACCCUCAUUGGGGUUCAUGAGAGAUACCUGGAAAGCAAGGGACAGAGGUGACAGGAACUUAAGACUUAAUACAGGCCCCAGGCCCCAAUGGUGUAUGCCUCCUCCAGAAGAUCUGGAGGUGGGAGAUGUUGACAGUGGUGUGUGCGUGUGUGUGUGUGUGUGUGUGUGUGUGUGUGUGUGUGUGUGUGUGCAUGCAUGAGGGGUGGGAGAAGAGAGUAUGACUAGAGAAAGUCGAGUCACUGAAGGCGCAUUCUCAUUUGUUCCUGGGCUGCUCCUCCUCCUCUCCUUUACUGAACUUUAGGCUUGUUUUGAGCAGGAGUCUAUAGGCAACAGAGCAGCCUUCUGUCUGAAGGUGUCAAUAUCUCUUUACAGCCUGACUGGAGGGAGGGGCCACUGUGGAUUCUGCCCCAGGGUGGGCUGGUGGCAGGUUGGGAACCCUGGUGCAGUCCUCAGGGUCCCCCAACGGCCUCUCUGGAAUCUGUCCUAGGGCCCAUUGUUUUAUGACAGCUCAUCAAAGACGUGUGAAUUGUUCCUGCUGGGGAAUGCUGAGUGUGGGCCCUGGAAGCCUGCUGUAAAGCCUGGAUUGUUCUGUGGAUUCACCCACAGUUACUGGGUCUUUUGAUGUUCAUGCUUGUUGCUGCAUCUGUGUAAGAUGCCAUUUUGAUAUUAAAACUGGCACACACUGGAGAGUGACUGGUUUAUGAGGUGGAGGGAUGUGUUGUCUUGGGAAGGGACAUUCAGCGGGGCUUCUGAGACAGGGUUAGCGGAGUUGCCAAGUCAGCCCAACAAAAGAAGCACUCCUUAUUUUAUUAAAACAUUUGGAGCCAAUGUGGCAGCACAGGGCUUUAAUGCCAGCACUCAGAUCUCUUUGAAUUUGAAGCCAGAAAACCCUGUCUCAAAAAACCAAAACCCAAUCAACCUAAAACCAUACCAAAACAAACCAACCAAACAAAAAGAAACAAAAAUGAGAAACAAGCCACUUGGCUCACCAGGUAGAAUGCUUGCUAUCCAAACUUGGUGGUGAGUUUAAUCCCUGAAACCCACAGUAGAAGGAGGAAACAGGUUCCUGAAAGGCGGUCCUUCGACCUCUCCACGUGUGCAUCCUGGAUCGUCAUCCCCCACGUGUGCAUCCUGGGCUGUCAUCCCCCACGUGUGCAUCCUGGAUUGUCAUCCCCCACGUGUACAUCCUGGGCUGUCAUCCACCAUAUGUGCAUCCUGGAUUGUCAUCCCCCACGUGCGCAUCCUGGAUUGCCAUCCCCCACGUGUACAUCCUAGGGUGUCAUCUCCCAAGUGUGCAUCCUGGAUUGUCAUCCCCCACGUGUGCAUCCUGGAUCGUCAUCCCUCACGUGUGCCUUUUUUUUUUUUCUGUAAUGUUGUGACAUGUAACCUCCUUGGUGGAAGAGAAAAAUGUGCUCGGUGCACGUCUGUGAAAGGAUAAUGAAUAUCUGACACACUCUACUAUUUCCCUUGGCAGCACCAGUGACAGACAUUACUUGUUGAUCACCCAUCUCUCUUUGGGAACUGAGCCAUGGUCUGAAAAAGUUCUUUAGUUGCCGUGGGAUCCAAUUGCAGUUGAAUAUUUUUGGAAGCUUGGCAACAGAAACAUCACUGUGUUUGUCCUACAGUGGAGAACAAGGCAUGAUCCUAAUGUCACAGAACUGCACUUCUUAACCAAGCUCCAGGAGCUUGGAAUAUUAUCUUUAACUCCUGCCCGGAUGGUCUUUGGAGAACGGAUCGCUUCUCAUGAUGACAGGUUCCUGCUACACUUAGCGGACAAAACUGGGGGCAUAAUUGUAACAAAUGAUAACUUCAGAGAGUUCAUGACUGAGUCGGUGUCCUGGAGAGAAAUUAUUACAAAAAGGAGUUUAGCAUGCAGCUUUCCUUGUUGCUGCCGCUGUGAACGUGUCAGUCAUGAACUGCUGACGAGCGGUGAAUGCUGGCUUCCAUGAGCCCACCGAAGACUUGACACUCGAGCGGCCGCUACCCACAAGAAGCGAGAGUGCUGUGCUGUGCUGAGGGAGAAGGCAGAUCUGCCGUAGAUCUGAAGCAAAUAGGGAAUGUGCAGGGCAGUGUGGGCUGCUUCAGUACACGUUCGUGGGGGACAUAUUUAUGGUUCCUGAUGACCCUCUGGGAAGAAACGGACCUCGGCUAGAUGAAUUUCUUCGAAAGGAGGGCUUUCUUAGAGACAUGCAGCCACUACUCAAUGCCCUGCCAGAUGUGGGCAUGUUUGAUCCUGGCUUCUGGAGCCCCAACACCCAAGUAGCCAACACCAGCUACCAGCCUCCAUCCCGGAACCAGGGAGCCUUUUCAGGCCCUUGGCUUCCUCAGCAGCCCCACUUUACACCCCUGGCCACUGUUCCCAGUAUGCAGCAGAACCUUCUCGUACCAGCACAGAGAUCUUCCGCAGAGACCAGCGAGCUGAGGGCGGCCCUGCUGAAGAUCUUCCCUGACUCUGAGCAGAAACUGAAGAUCCUGGUAGCUCAUCCAUACAUGAAAGACCUGAAUGCCCUUUCUGCCCUGGUACUGGACUGAAGGCUGGGCUGAGAGCCCACUGCUGAUGGGGACCAGAGGGAGCUGCCUACUGUGGAGUCCCGUACUGGGGAGAAGCUUUCCAGAGUGCACAGUGCUGCUCUUGGUAGGAGAAGGAAGGGAUGUGUUUUAUAUAUACAAAAGUCUGGAUUUUCAAAGCCAGCUUUUUUCUAUAUAUAAAUUAUGCUGCUAUUACAGAUUGAACAUUUUCUGUAAAAGAAAAGUACAUUUUCUGCCUGUUCAGAACUGUUUAAUAGCAGUUACUCUUGAGUGUAUUUACAACUUUAUGUUUUUUAAACUAUUUUCCUUAAAGCUGAAGAAAAGUUGACAAAUGAAU